CGCAGCCGCGGUAAUUCCAGCUCCGAUAGCGUAUAUUAAAGUUGUUGCAGUUAAAAAGCUCGUAGUUGAAUUUCGGGGUUCUUCCGUUGGUCGGGCUAUCCAGUCUGUACUAGCGUGUAGAAUUCCUACCUUCUGGGGAACCAUCAUGUUAUUAAUUUAGCGUGGUGGGAAACCAGGACCUUUACCUUGAAAAAAUUAGAGUGUUCAAAGCAGGCUUACGUCUGAAUACAUUAGCAUGGAAUAAUAGAAUAGGACGGUGGUCCUGUUUUGUUGGUUUCUGAAUCACCGUAAUGAUUAAUAGGGAUAGUUGGGGGCAUUAGUAUUCAAUUGUCAGAGGUGAAAUUCUUGGAUUUAUUGAAGACUAACUUCUGCGAAAGCAUUUGCCAAGGAUGUUUUCAUUAAUCAAGAACGAAAGUUAGGGGAUCGAAGACGAUCAGAUACCGUCGUAGUCUUAACCAUAAACUAUGCCGACUAGGGAUCGGACGAUGUUAAAUUUAUUGACUCGUUCGGCGCCUUACGG
rnacentral:rRNA from 1 species